AUCAUCCUAAUGCUUCUCCUUCCUCAUCAGGUCCGCUCAUUCAAUUGACUUGAGGUUUUGGUGCCAAAAGUAGUGGUUUGUUUUUAAAUGGCUUGAAUUGGAUUUCUCCUACAUGCCUUCUGUUGCUAUUACAGCUAGCACAGCUUAUUUCCCCAGCUCAGCAGGAGGGUUUGUUAAAUGAACAUCAGUGGGUCAACCGCCUGCACCUGCCACCACCAGGCUCCCGGUGCGACGGCUGUGUGUCCCAGGUGGGGCUGUUGCCUGGGGACUCUUUCCUGGCUCAGGAUGCAGCGGGAAGGAACUGACCACCUUCUGUGUUGGAGCCUGCGCUGAGCUUGGCAGGCAAAGACAGAACGCUGGACAGAAUGGUGCACAGAAUCCUCCUGCAACACCAACAGAAAGGACAAUAAGGAUCCUAUCUAACACACCGUCAGCUGGAUACUGACAGUUCAAAAAAACCAAAAGUGUGAAGUGACAUAAAACAAGAACAGCUGCACGCCCUACAGCUCCCAACCUUUAGCCAAGAGUCGAGUACAAGUGACUUGACCCUUGCAGGAUUCCCAUGGCCGGAGGCACAAAUGGAGCAGUGAAGACAGACAAGACUAACAACACUGAGACUUUUGCCAGACUUCAAGCAAUACUACUGGAAUUUACUUCAGUCUUCGAACAGAUACAUCAUGGAAUGUCUUGGAUGGAAAAUACAGCAUCAUCCACAAACUGAGACUAGCAGAAAAGAGCAUUCAUUACAGCACAUACCUGGAAGCUUGCUGCUCUGCUCCUGCUUCCCGUGGAAGUCUUCAGCCUGAUGAGGGUGCUGUUCAUCACAGUGAGACUUC